rnacentral:rRNA from 1 species
GACGAACGCUGGCGGCGUGCUUAACACAUGCAAGUCGAGCGGUGAACCUCCUUCGGGAGGGGAUCAGCGGCGAACGGGUGAGUAACACGUGGGCAACCUGCCCCUAGCUCUGGGAUAACUCCGGGAAACCGGGGCUAAUACCGGAUACGACCUGGGACGACAUCGUCGCAGGUGGAAAGUUUUUCGGCUAGGGAUGGGCCCGCGGCCUAUCAGCUUGUUGGUGGGGUAACGGCCCACCAAGGCGACGACGGGUAGCCGGCCUGAGAGGGCGACCGGC